UACAGAGGUGGCAAGCGUUGUUCGGAAUUACUGGGCGUAAAGGGCGCGUAGGCGGCCUUCUAAGUCAGACGUGAAAUCCCCCGGCUUAACCUGGGAACUGCGUCUGAUACUGGGAGGCUUGUGUAUGGGAGAGGGAUGUAGAAUUCCAGGUGUAGCGGUGAAAUGCGUAGAUAUCUGGAGGAAUACCGGUGGCGAAGGCGGCAUCCUGGACCAUAACUGACGCUGAGGCGCGAAAGCUAGGGGAGCAAACGGG
rnacentral:rRNA from 1 species